CGUUCUGCUCUUCUCAAAUCUCUCGCACCAUGUUCUAGUUCUCUUUCAAGUAGAGACAUAUAUCGAGCUCGCAUCUUCUUGGAAUAUACAUUGCUUUUUUUCUCGCUGCCCACAGACACGUUCUUUAAUCUCCAACAAAGCCAGCGGUUGAGACUCGAUUCAGCGUCGCUUCAUCAGGAGCUUCCUUCACAUUUACAUUUCGCAUCAAUACUCCACCUUCACAAAUCGGGUCACAAAUAGGCAGCAAUAGCCCCAUUUACACGACAUUUCAAUUCCAAACAGCGCCGUCAAUUCAAGAUGGGAUGGAUGAUUAGAUGUGCAAAAACUACAGCAUAAAGCUUGAUUUUGCUUGUGACGACGAUGCACCUGUAUUUCGUUCGCUCUUAUGCUUUGGCUAUGGGGCUGGAUGUAACUGAAGGUUUUCAUCUUUCACUUAUUUGCUUUACCUCACAAAUUAUCACCUCGCCCUUUCCAUCUAUUCAUCCAAAAAGUUCCCAAGACGAGGGAAACAGUAAGGGACCAUUCAUGUGACCUUGAAUUUCUCCUUCGAAGCUCUCCGUGCGACCUACAUAUUUCUCACCUCCGCCCCCUACUCCAUCUACUCAUCAGAUCUCGGCAACUUCCUCAUACCAGACCUCAUGGUCGAUCCUCCGUCAUCCCACACCAGCUAACUCUUCGCCUGCCUGCUGCAUCAACUUCGCCCUCCUCGUCCCCACGCCCUCCACGACAAUCGCCCACAUGAAGAUGUAUGCGCGGAUGCAGAUAGGUUGGAGGUUGACAUGCUGAGCAACGAUCGUUGUUAAUAUAAAUAGGGCACUUAUAUUGGUGUCAAUUGGUCGGAUCAUGUAUUCCAUCACCAGCAUAGAAAAACUACUUCUGAAGCGGCCGACGGCUACCGAACCGUCACAUAUGUACCUCCUCUCAC
rnacentral:sRNA from 1 species